rnacentral:rRNA from 1 species
UACGUAGGGGGCUAGCGUUGUCCGGAAUCAUUGGGCGUAAAGCGCGCGUAGGUGGCCCCAUAAGUCCGCUGUGAAAGUCAAAGGCUCAACCUUUGAAAGCCGGUGGAUACUGUGGGGCUAGAGUCCGGAAGAGGCGAGUGGAAUUCCUGGUGUAGCGGUGGAAUGCGCAGAUAUCAGGAGGAACACCAAUAGCGAAGGCAGCUCGCUGGGACGGUACUGACGCUGAGACGCGAAAGCGUGGGGAGCGAACAGG